rnacentral:rRNA from 1 species
CAGUAGCCGCGGGAAUACGAAGGGUGCAAGCGUUACUCGGAAUUACUGGGCGUAAAGCGUGCGUAGGUGGUGGUUUAAGUCCGUUGUGAAAGCCCUGGGCUCAACCUGGGAAUUGCAGUGGAUACUGGGUCACUAGAGUGUGGUAGAGGAUAGUGGAAUUUCCGGUGUAGCAGUAAAAUGCGUAGAGAUCGGAAGGAACAUCUGUGGUGAAGGCGACUAUCUGGGCCAACACUGACACUGAGGCACGAAAGCGUGGGGAGCAAACAGGAUUAGAGACCCCCGUAGUCCCUGUCUCUUAUAC